rnacentral:misc_RNA from 1 species
GGCAAUUUCUACUCCUUAGAAAUAUUUUUUUUUUGGGUUAGCUCUGUUGCAAUCAUGAUUGUGUGAUUUUCAUGCCCCUAUAUUAUUUGUGUGUGUCUGUGUGCAGUUACUGUUUACAUGAGUUUGGUUGUUCAUCUAUGUUUAAUUUUUGUUGAGAAUAUGGAUCGCGUGCUGUUUCUUGGUGUAACCUGCCUUGUGAUUGGAAUGAAUAAGUUUUGUUAUGGAGGUAAAUGAUAGAGAAAGACUCUUAAGUUAAUUAUAAAGGAAAUCUAAGCAUAAAGCUAAGUAUUGAAUAAAGGAUUGUUGUAAGAAAAACUGAUUAGUUAAUUCCCACUGACUAUAAAAAAUAUGGAAGUGAUUGUCAAACAUAUGUCAUGUAAUUAAAGUUAUAACUAUUAAUAAAAUUAAUUUCUAAUUCAAAUUAAAAUCUAUAGUGUGAUAUGUAGCAAUAUGAAAAUCGAGAAGAAGGUAAUGUGUAUCUUAGUGGAUAUAAUAUUCAAGUUUUAUUCAUUCAAUGCUUGGGAUUCUUGUUGAUUAAUCAAAAAAGUUUAUUCUUGAAAGCCAUUUCACAUAGUGCGGAUAUAAAAUUGUGUAUUUAAUAUGCAUUGAUGUGAUAAUAUUGAGAUGGGGAACUCUUUCCAGCAAAUAUAUUGCUGCAGUCCCUCGCCCUUUAGGUAUGCUGUAUUAGCAAGUGAAAGCAAUCUUGGAGAGAACAUAUGAUUGGAAAUGCUAAAUAUAUCAUAAAAAAAUAGCCUUAUUUUAGAAGCUUGUGCAAUUGAAAGAAGACAAAGAGGAAGGCUCAUCAGAAGAAAUCCAGAAAUAUGACUGGAUUCCUUUUAUUGCAAUAACAAAAAUGAAUCUGU